GCUGGCAUGGCGCAAUUGGUAGCGCAUCCGACUUGUAAUCGGAAGGUUGCGGGUUCAAGUCCCGCUGCCAGCU
rnacentral:tRNA from 1 species